rnacentral:lncRNA from 1 species
UCUGCGGCCAGAGACCAGAGGGAGGCCGGAGGCCCAGGACACCCGCUCCUCCUGGUCCCUGGUCCAGCACGGCCCUGUGGGGACCCAGAGGCGGAGGAGCCCGGGGCACAUGGGGGUUGGGGGGCCACAGAGCGGCUUGUCUGAGUGGGCUGAUUCCACAGGCACAGCUUGAGAAAUAAACAGGACUCUAAAGUGCAAAGGAGACCACUGAGCAUUACACAGACAGCAUCUCCUGGACACCUGUGUCGACCGGCGCUGUGAGUAUCAAGUAAGAAUUUAGAAAAGCCUGGCCUUUAGCUGCCGCCUUGUGCUGGGGCUGGGGGUGGCACUGUCCACGGGGCAGGCAGCCCCCAAAUCGCCCUUGAGCUGGGAUGACUGCCCAGGAUGCUCGGGCCUGGGCAGGCGUAUGGGCCUGUCACUGGAGGCAUUCCAGCCGGGCAGGGGUCCAGGCCUCUGCUGGCUCCGCCGCCUGCCCUGAAGGCCACUCCCUGCAGAGCCUGGCCUCCAGCCCCACACAUGCCGAGGGAAGCACCUCUGGGUUCGGUUUCCAGGCAGCGGGGCGCUGGGCCCUGCUCCUCAGAGACAGUGGCUCAUCCAGGAGUGUGGGGGGGGAUGCUCAGCGUGACCGGGGGUGGCUGAGGGGGAUCGGCCACCUGCAGAAGACCCGGGACCUCUCCUGUGCAGUGUCACCACUCUGCCACUCCACGCCAGCCAAGUGUCUCCUGGCCUCCCCACCCCCAGCUGCUGGGCACCGCAGGCACCUCAGACAUGAUGCAGUGGCUGCCUCGGGAGCCCCAGGCCGGCCUGAGCACCGCAAGGUGAGUGCCGUGGGGGAGGUGUCGUGGUCAGAGAGGCCCUGGAGUGGCCGUCACCGGCAGGAGGGCACCAUUAAGCUCGGGCCAGGUGAAGCGUCCCAGCAACAGGCAAGGCAGGGCCAGGGCUGGGCCUGGAGGGGCGCUUGGAUGGUGGGUCUGCAGUCCGAAGGGACAGUAGGGGAGGACAGUUCCUGCUGACUUGAGGCAGCUUGACCCAGAGCCUGGAGCCAGUGGGGGCUUCUGGACGGAAGGGAGUGUGUGGUGAGGAAGGGGGACCUUUGGAGAGGAAGUAGGCCACGUGACAGGUAGAAGGGACCAGUGUGGUGUGACGGGCCCUGGGGGCUUCAGCCAGCCUGAAGGUGGACAGGGUGCCUGGACACGGAGCAGAGUGGCCAGGUGGGGAUGUGGCACUCACAGGUCAGACAGAGGAGACCCUGCUGCCCACUGCCCCACACCCAGCCUGCCAAGGUGGAGGGCCCCCAAGACAGCCUGAUGGCCACAGUCGCAGCCAUGCGCCCCCAGGGUGCGAGUCCUCUCCUGGGGGGAUAUCUGGUUUUUACCUUCUGCUGGCUGAACCAAUAGGCGGUUCAUUCCCCCCAUCUUUAUCAAGAAAAAGCUUCGCCCUUAAAAAAAAAAGGAAAUAACAAAAAGCAGAANNNNNNNNNNNNNNNNNNNNNNNNNNNNNNNNNNNNNNNNNNNNNNNNNNNNNNNNNNNNNNNNNNNNNNNNNNNNNNNNNNNNNNNNNNNNNNNNNNNAAAAAGCUUCGCCCUUAAAAAAAAAAGGAAAUAACAAAAAGCAGAACUAAAUUUUCCAGAGGCCAAGAGGAUUUAAAAAAAAAUCUGAACACUCUGUACAGUUUAAUUAAAUACUUUUAAUGCCAAUUUCCAAUUGUCCUAUGUCUCAUCUCUCCAACAUUCCUUUCUAGCGAUGUGAAUAUAUUACGGCCUCAUUGUUUCUAACGCUAUUUUCUCAUCUCCUAUCACUCCAUGAUCUGUUCUUCAUUUCCCGGCUGUGGGGCGAAGCUGUCCCCCACGCUGUGCAGUCCCCCCUCUGGCUGGAGAGCUCAGAGUCAAUACCAUCAAACGCCACGCACACAGUCAGUGAGUAUCAUCAGCUCAGGGGACUUGGAGCCCUUGAGGACAAGGCUCUCAGAGGUGCUGGAGGGAGCUGGAUGUGGCGGGAGGAGGUCUCCUUCUGAGACCUUGAGGUGGUCGUUGCCUGUCCAGUGUCUGUGCAGCCUCACCUAUCUAUAAAUGGGCCACGGGGCUCCUGAAGGCUACAGGCUUUGUCAGCUUAGAGAUGCUGUCUUUAAAAAAUAAUGCCUACUUAAAAAAAAUCCACGCCCUAUCCCUUCUGUAGACGUCUGAAGGACAGAGUGUGCAGACGAAGGUGACGGUCUCUCACAUUAAAAUCCCCUGCUUUGUGGGGCCCUGUGGGAACUCCUGCCCUGCCCUUGCUCACCCCCCUCCCCCAUGUCACAGCAGGGCUGUCUCUGGUUCUUCCUGCUCAGCACUCUCUGCCUGCCACAGGGCCUUUGCACAGUCUGCUCUUGCAGCUGGGAAGAUCACCCCCGACCCCACCCAUUCCAGCUGCUUUCUUGUCCUCAGAUGUAUCUUCUGCCCCCUACUUGCCCCCCACAGCACUUAACAUAGCCUGUAACGGUUCGCUUCUUCUAUCCACCAGUUUCUUUAUGGCUGCGUCCCCGCUGGAAUGAAGCUCCAAGGGACAAGGAUAAGGCCUAGACUGGUCACCGCCACUGCCUCCCUCGUUCCACACUGUGGGCCUUCCACCGACUUUUGUCCAGCAAAUCACUCACAGUUCCCCAGCCAGAGCCAGUCUUCAGCUUCACCUUGAGCUUUGAUGAUCCGGCCAGUGUGAAAGGAUCGGGAGGUCCAGGUGACCCCUGCCCAGGAUGUUGCUGAGGCUUGUGGGUCUGCCCCACCCUUGCAAGCUCCCCUCAGCGCUCUCCCAGGCCCCCUCCUAGGUGACUGGGGCACUAAUUGCUCCUUGAGGGCCUUAAUUACUGGCCAUGGCCCUCCACCGCUAAGUAGCAGCAUUAAAAUAGAGUAAAUGUUUUCAUUUUCUUGAAAAGUUCACAUAUACAAGAGGAAGUGCUGCUGAGCAGGGACGGGCUGCGCUGGACACCCCCUGGGCCUCGCCUGGGAACUGCCAUGGUCCUGCCUUCCUGCGUCUUCCUUCCCCCAAGGCCCAGAGGUGGAGCAAGGCGCAGGGCCUCCCGGGCUUUCCCUACCCCCAGCACGGCCACCCCAUUCUGGUUGCGUCUCUGCAGUGCCAUUGCGCAGCGCAGGUGGGGAAGCCCUGGUUGAGUGACCUUGCCAGGGCCUCUCCAGAUCUGGGGGUCCCCACGUGGGUCCUCUCACCCACUCGGGCGACUGCUGAGGCCGGAGGCCCCUGGAGCCGCCCACGUGGACCAGCCACCCCGCUCUUUGUCCAGCGUUGAGUGGGCUUGGAAGAAGGGAGGUCGCACUCGGAGCCACCAGACUGGUGGUCGUGGAAAAGUGAAAAGCUUGUGAGGUUUUCAGUGGCCAAGGGGUCCGAGUGGGACCCCGGAGCACAGGGGGCGGUGUGUCUCAGUAUGAGGCUGGGGUGCUGCAGGAGGGCCUGGGCGCUUCCCCGAGGUCCCACGCGGCUCGCUUGGUCCAGGAGGAGGCUGGGCGAGGGACAAGUUCGCAGAAAGCCGUAGGUGCGCUGUGCGCGCGCGCGCGUGUGUGUGUGUGUGUGUGUGCGGGGGUGCGGAUGCACGCGCACCCAGAAU